AACUUUGCCUCCUGGGUUCAAGUGAUUCUCCUGGUUCAGCCUCCUGAGUGCUGGGAUUACAGGUGUAUACCACCACGCCUGGCUAGUUUUUUAUUUUUAGUAGAGACAAGUUUCACCAUGUUGGUCAGGCUGGUCUUAAACUCCUGACCUUGUGAUCUGCCCGCCUCUGCCUCCCAAAGUGAGCCACCGCACCUGACCUCACCCCAGUAUUUCUAACACCCAGCAGCUCAACAUGAAGAAAUGACUGCCUGAUCAAAUGCUGAGGUCCCAUCGCUGUGUGAAAUCUGAGGGCACAAUGAGUGACUUUGUUGUCACUGGCACACAUCGAACACAUGUUCAAGAAAAAUACAAAUACACUCUUAGCAAUGAAUCCACGUCACCACUGCACAUCAGGAAUGCUCUACUGUAAAGUGCUCAUCAGUUUGGGCUUAACCACCCUGUGGGCCUAGAGGAGAGAGAAGUUUUGUUGUGAUAGAAAAAGAAGGUCUGCAACUCCAGGAGAUGUUCCUGAAGACUCUUUGUCCUGAGUAGGGUUGGUUUGUCAGGCAGCUGCAGAGGGAGUCUCGAAUGCCUCAGGGACUUAAAUGAAAUGCAGAAAUGGGCGGGUGGUGGGGAGGAGUGUAAAGAACUUGGGAGAACAAGAAGACUCCUGCAUUCAGACUUCAAAUGAUCACUCGAAUGAACAAAAGAGUCUGUAGUUUAAGGCAAAUUCUAUUUUUAAUUAAAGAAUAAUCUAGAUAGAUAUUCUGUGGCACAGUUUUAUUGCUCAUCAAAUUGAUUUUUUUUCCUCUGCAAGACUAUACUUCUCUUGUCAGCCUUGUUGAAGUUAGACCUUUCAGAAAAGGUUGGAUAUUUAUUACUUCAAAUUACAGUCUAUAAUUUCCCCCAUGAAACAUGUGCAGAAUAUAUGUAUAUAUAGGUAAGUUUCUUUUACUUUCCCCAUCAAGUGUUCUAUGUUCACUGGAAGGCAACGAUUCUAAACAGGAGGGGACCAGUAGACAGCCUAUAUUUAUCUCCUCUACCUGGAGAGCCCGUAGCUCUUGUGAUGUGGGUAUCUACUGGAUUCCAGACGCAAGAACAAUAAUGCCAUCUGUUUAUGUGCGGGUCACCAGCCAGCAGAUGGUAAACUUGGUGUGGCCGGCCAUUAUGUGA
rnacentral:lncRNA from 13 species